AUGGACCAGAGGAACGGAGAACGCCGGUUAAUCCAGCCGGAAUUUCACCGGAACCCUCAUCCUGCACCGCCGAAUUGGCCUUCCGACGACUCUAUCUCUCGUAACGAUGGGAACUUAGACAAUCACAGAAGGAACUUCCCCGGAGACGGCAAUCACUACAAUCGCCGGCAACAUCACCAGCAUCACCAUCGUAACCCGAAUUUUGAGCAAAAAUUCGGUGGUUCCGCGCCUUUUCCUGUUCGUAAGAGACCUUUCGAUCAAGCAAGCUCUGACUUUCUGGAUUGUGGCAGUUUUGUGAAACUCUAUGUUGUAGGAGUUCCAAGGCCAGCAGAAGAAGAAGAUGUCCGGUCUGUUUUUGCUGCACAUGGGCACAUUGUUGAGUUUGUUCGUCUAACGGAUAAAGGCACCGGUCUGAGGAAAGAAUGUUGUUUUGUGAAGUAUAGAACGCUAGAUGAAGCUAAUAGGGCUAUUGUAGCAUUCAAUGGUCGAUAUACUUUCCCUGGGGGUGAGUUUCCCUUAACAGUUAGGUAUGCUGAUGGGGAACGUGAUCGUCUCGGAAUCUUGACCGAACACACUCAGAAACUUUAUGUUGGUGGUCUGAGGAAACAAGCUUCCAAAAAAGAAAUUGAGCAUGUAUUUUCUCCAUAUGGGAUUGUUGAAGAAGUCUUCCUAAUUGCUGAUGAACAUAAACAACGCCGUGGAAGUGCUUUUAUCAGGUUUGCUUGUAGAGACAUGGCAGUUGCAGCUAUGAAUGCACUACAUGGUACCUAUAUAAUUAAAGUAUGUGAACACCCAUUGGUUAUUCGAUUCGCAGAUCCUAAGAAGCCCAAGGUGGGAGAGUCGAGGGCACCACCCCUUAUGAAUGAGCAAUUCAAUGGGAAUAUAGCAGCUAACCAGUCUAAUCACCAGAGUCCAAAUCAGACUCCAAAUAACAGAAGCAAUCCUCAGACAGUUUUCAGCACUCAUGUUGGAUCAGAUAAUGUUUUGCCAUCAGCUGCAUCUUCUGUCAAUGCAAAAUCUUUAAAUGCUGAGAUGGUGGAGUCCAUAGAUUGUGAAUGGAGUGACCAUAUCUGUCCUGACGGAAACUUAUAUUAUUAUAACUGUGUAACGUGUGAAAGCAGGUGGGAGAAGCCAGAGGAGUUUGCACUUUAUGAAAAGAAAUUAGAAAAGCUAGAUCUACAGCAACAGGAUCAGCAUAAUUUAAAAGUUCCAGUACGUAACACUCCAGAAGUAUCUCAAAUGCGUCAGGAACUCGAAACAGCUAGUUCAGCGGUUCCUAUGGCUUGCGUCUAAAACAUGGAUUUUCAUUUUAGGAGUUAUUAGAACUGAGUGAACUUGAAACAGCAAGUUCAAUGGUUCCUCUGGCAUGUGUGUAAACAGCAUCAGUUUUCAUCUUAGAAGCUACUAGAACCGGAAACGGAACACAUAUGGUUUUGUUUUUUCAAUUACAAGUGACAGUAGCACUGAAAGGCAACAUUCUGAAGACUGAUGUGCAUUUGUAUGAACCUUUCAACUGCUAGAGAUUUACUUGUGAACUUUGGACUGUUUAGGGCCCUUCCCCAGUUGGGAGCAAAUAUGUUUUUGUAUAGUUGUUUUAGAUUUUUUUUCCCCAACUCUUUGUUUUAAGGCCCGUUUGGACAUUAU
rnacentral:misc_RNA from 1 species